CAUGUACUACCUCCGUCCGAAAAUACUUGUCCUAGAAAUGAAUAAAAUGGAUGUAUCUAUAACUAAAAUAAGUUUAGAUACAACCAUUUUGAGAACAAGUAUUUUCGGACGGAGGAAGUAUGUA
rnacentral:pre_miRNA from 1 species